UACAGAGGGUGCAAACGUUGCUCGGAAUCAUUGGGCGUAAAGCGCACGUAGGCGGUCCGUCAAGUGGGGUGUGAAAGCCCUCGGCUCAACCGAGGAAUUGCGCUCCAAACUGUCGGGCUCGAGGGAGAUAGAGGUGAGCGGAACUGAUGGUGGAGCGGUGAAAUGCGUUGAUAUCAUCAGGAACACCAGAGGCGAAGGCGGCUCACUGGGUCUCUUCUGACGCUGAGGAACGAAAGCUAGGGGAGCAAACGGG
rnacentral:rRNA from 1 species